GACGAACGCUGGCGGCGUGCUUAACACAUGCAAGUCGAACGCUGAAGCCCUUUCGGGGGUGGAUGAGUGGCGAACGGGUGAGUAACACGUGGGUAAUCUGCCCUGCACUCUGGGAUAAGCCUUGGAAACGGGGUCUAAUACCGGAUAGGACACAUCGCCGCAUGGUGUGUGUGUGGAAAGUUCCGGCGGUGCAGGUUGAGCCCGCGGCCUAUCAGCUUGUUGGUGGGGUGAUGGCCUACCAAGGCGACGACGGGUAGCCGGCCUGAGAGGGCGACCGGCCACACUGGGACUGAGACACGGCCCAGACUCCUACGGGAGGCAGCAGUGGGGAAUCUUGCGCAAUGGGCGAAAGCCUGACGCAGCAACGCCGCGUGGGGGAUGACGGCCUUCGGGUUGUAAACCUCUUUCGACCGGGACGAAGGGUGACUGACGGUACCGGUAGAAGAAGCACCGGCUAACUACGUGCCAGCAGCCGCAGUAA
rnacentral:rRNA from 1 species